rnacentral:rRNA from 1 species
AUUGAACGCUGGCGGCAUGCCUUACACAUGCAAGUCGAACGGCAGCACGGGUGCUUGCACCUGGUGGCGAGUGGCGAACGGGUGAGUAAUACAUCGGAACGUACCUUAUCGUGGGGGAUAACGCAGCGAAAGCUGUGCUAAUACCGCAUACGCCCUGAGGGGGAAAGCGGGGGAUCGCAAGACCUCGCGCGAUUAGAGCGGCCGAUGCCUGAUUAGCUUGUUGGUGGGGUAAAAGCCCACCAAGGCGACGAUCAGUAGCUGGUCUGAGAGGACGAUCAGCCACACUGGGACUGAGACACGGCCCAGACUCCUACGGGAGGCAGCAGUGGGGAAUUUUGGACAAUGGGGGCAACCCUGAUCCAGCAAUGCCGCGUGAGUGAAGAAGGCCUUCGGGUUGUAAAACUCUUUUGUCAGGGAAGAAACACCGGCUCUAACACAGUCUGGGAAUGACGGUACCCGAAGAAUAAGCACCGGCUAACUACGUGCCAGCCGCCGCCGUAA